GAUCUCUCUUCUGGAGGUUUGUAGCGAGUCCAGGACAUGGUAGAAAGACACUUUAUUUGAGUGAUUGCUCCUGUAGCCGUGGAAUCCCUCUGAGCCACAAGCGGAAAGAGGGCUGGACUCAGUGCCAUAAGUUUUGUUUCACACGCUGCUGCAAUGAACCCACCAAGCAGACUUCAUACCAAGUUGGUAGGGACUUGGACUGGCAACACAGAAAUGAAAGGCUUCAUUCUCUAUUCAUGGUCUUAUAAACUGCUAACUCCCACUCGAAUUGCUCCACUGGAUUCUUACUGAACUCACUGAAAUUUCACCUGGCCAACUGAGAAGGAGACACCCGCCUUCACAAAUGCCAUCAUCCACGAGGACCCCAAAGAAAGCAGAAUCAGAAAUUUUUCAAUAGCUCUGUGUGUGUGUGUG